AGAGUUUGAUCAUGGCUCAGGAUGAACGCUAGCGGCAGGCCUAAUACAUGCAAGUCGAGGGGCAGCACGGUAGCAAUACUGGUGGCGACCGGCGCACGGGUGCGUAACACGUAUACAAUCUGCCUUUAACAGGGGGAUAGCCCGGAGAAAUCCGGAUUAAUACCCCAUAAUACUUUGAGUGGCCUCACUUAGAGUUGAAAGCUCCGGCGGUUAAAGAUGAGUAUGCGCCUGAUUAGCUAGUUGGUGAGGUAACGGCUCACCAAGGCGACGAUCAGUAGGGGAUCUGAGAGGAUUACCCCCCACACGGAUACUGAGACACGGAUCCGACUCCUACGGGAGGCAGCAGUAAGGAAUAUUGGACAAUGCCCGCAAGGGUGAUCCAGCCAUGCCGCGUGCAGGAAGACGGCCCUAUGGGUUGUAAACUGCUUUUAUACCGGAGAAAACCCCCCUACGUGUAGGGGGCUGAUAGUAUGGUAAGAAUAAGCAUCGGCUAGCUUCGUGCCAGCAGCCGCGGUAAUA
rnacentral:rRNA from 1 species